AGCCGGGUCUCGUGCGGCGGGAACUUGCGAACUCCGUCAGGUCCGGAAGGAAGCAGCGGUAAGCAAUUAUUCCUGGGUGCCACGAGAGUGCCUGAUUUCG
rnacentral:SRP_RNA from 1 species